GGAGGGUAUGCGAAUGGCUAGCGGCCUGACUCGAAAUCAGGUGCCGGGUAACCGGUUGAGGGUUCGAAUCCCUUGCCCUCCG
rnacentral:tRNA from 1 species